rnacentral:rRNA from 1 species
ACUCCUACGGGAGGCAGCAGUGGGGAAUAUUGCACAAUGGGCGCAAGCCUGAUGCAGCCAUGCCGCGUGUAUGAAGAAGGCCUUCGGGUUGUAAAGUACUUUCAGCAGUGAGGAAGGUGGGAUGCGUUAAUAGCUAAUUCAUUGAUCGUAUGCUGCAGAAGAAGCACCGGCUAACUCCGUGCCAGCAGCCGCGGUAAUACGGAGGGUGCGAGCGUUAAUCGGAAUUACUGGGCGUAAAA